CCAUCCUGUUCCUGGCCCUGCGGGUGCUGCGGCGGCGGCAGCGGCGGCAGCAGACGGCGGAUCGGGCAGCCCUGGCGAUCGAGAAGCACCCCAACGUGAGCCUGAGGUGGUUCCAGCCGGUCCCUGCUGGCAAAUCCCCCCCGAGCCCCCCCAGCCUUUAUUACCCCAACGAGGGCUACAGCGAUGGGGGGGCCGGGGAGGGACCCCCCCCACAGCCUCCUCCCCCACCCCCAGCCCCCCAGCCUCCACCCCCCACCCCCCAAAAUCCCACCCCCAAGCCUCAGGCCAAUUCCGUGAGGGGGGUGGGGGCCGUGGGGAAGCCGGGGGGGUCCCCGGGAGGGAGUGGCAGUGGGGGGACAUCUCCGAGUGGAUCCCCGCCCCCCCCAGCCCCCCCGCCCCCACCCCCAGGAAGUCCCAGUCCUCCCAGUCCUUCAGUAGAGGCUUCUGGGGGGGGUUAUGGGGAAGUGGUGGCAGGGGGCAGCCCCAGUUUGCCCGGGGGGGGGUUGGG